rnacentral:rRNA from 1 species
UACGUAGGGGGGCAAGCGUUUGUCCGGAUUUAUUGGGCGUAAAGAGCGUGUAGGCGGCCAGACAGGUCCGUUGUGAAAACUGGAGGCUUAACCUUCAGACGUCGAUGGAAACCGUCUGGCUAGAGUCCGGAAGAGGAGAGUGGAAUUCCUGGUGUAGCGGUGAAAUGUGCAGAUAUCAGGAAGAACACCCGUGGCUAAGGCGGCUCUCUAGUACGGUACUGACGCUGAGACGCGAAAGCGUGGGGAGCGAACAGG